CCAGACUCCUACGGGAGGCAGCAGUGAGGAAUAUUGGUCAAUGGGAGGAAUCCUGAACCAGCCAUGCCGCGUGCAGGACGACGGCUCUACGAGUUGUAAACUGCUUUUGUACCGGGGUAAAAUGCCUUACGAGUAGGGUUUUGAAAGUACGGUACGAAUAAGGAUCGGCUAACUCCGUGCCAGCAGCCGCGGUAAUACGGAGGAUGCGAGCGUUAUCCGGAUUUAUUGGGUUUAAAGGGUGCGCAGGCGGCCUGUUAAGUCAGGGGUAAAAGCCGGGGGCCCACCCCCGGCGAGCCGUUGAAACUGGCAGUCUCGAGUUGGAGAGAAGUAUGCGGAAUGCGCGGUGUAGCGGUGAAAUGCAUAGAUAUCGCGCAGAACUCCGAUUGCGAAGGCAGCAUGCCGGCUCCACACUGACGCUGAGGCACGAAAGCGUGGGUAUCGAACAGGAUUAGAUACCCCAGUA
rnacentral:rRNA from 1 species